ensembl:lncRNA
GGAGCCUUUGUCAUUGAACCUGCAGAGCAAGAAGCUGGCCUUGGACAUCCAGAGGGAACAUCCAGGGAACAACAACCUCCAUUUCUAAGAAAGGCUGCUACUGCAUGGCUUGUGUGGCCCACUCUGGGAUGGCUGCAGAUGAAAUAGCAGAGAAUAUUGAUUCAGCUGUCAGCACCAUCGUGACAAAACUACAGGUUAGAAAGGACCGUUGAUAAAGGUCAUCCACUUGAAAAGCCAAUCAGUGGCUCUGCCCAUCUACACCUCUAACCUGAGUAACCUGACCCUUAUAGAUGAAACACAGAAACAGACCCGCGCAGCCAUGGAUGCCAAGAAAAAUGCGCGGAAACAGAAGUCUGCAAAGAAAGAACAGAAGUCUACAGAAAAAAACUCUGGUGCUGACAGGGAGGAAGAGGUUCCCAUAGUAAUGCCAAGGAAAAAGGCUAGUGGAGAAGCCGACCAAGAAGGGACUUGUGAAGGUACCCAAACCAACAGGAGGAAAGGACUGGUUCUGAAUGUAUAUAAACUGUCAAUGUUAAUCGAGCCAAGGACAAACUCAAAUGUGUUGCAAAUCUUUGUCUGCCCCAUAAAAGGGUCUUGUUCAAAAUCAUAUUUUUUAUAAGCCCAACUUGUAAAUUAAAAUAUUACCACAAAGUAUAUUUCAUGUCUUUAAUUUGUUAUCCACAAUGACAUUGU